rnacentral:rRNA from 1 species
UUGGAUCAUGGUUCAGAACGAACGCUGGCGGCAAGCCUAACACAUGCAAGUCGAACGGAUAGCUACCCAUAGCUUUUUUAGCUAUAGGUUUGCUAUUAGUGGCAGACGGGUGAGUAAUGCAUAGGAAUCUACCUAGUAGUAUGGAAUAGCCAUUAGAAAUGAUGGGUAAUACUGUAUAAUCCCUGCGGGGGAAAGAUUUAUCGCUAUUAGAUGAGCCUAUGUUAGAUUAGUUAGUUGGUAAGGUAAUGGCUUACCAAGACUAUGAUCUAUAGCUGGUCUGAGAGGACGAUCAGCCACACUGGAACUGAGAUACGGUCCAGACUCCUACGGGAGGCAGCAGUGGGGAAUAUUGGACAAUGGGCGAAAGCCUGAUCCAGCUAUGCCGCGUGAGUGAAGAAGGCCUUCGGGUUGUAAAGCUCUUUCAAUAGGGAAGAUAAUGACGGUACCUAU